UUUGCAAACUGUCACACACGCCGGAGCUCAGCCGGAGUUUUAAGCUUGUGCUGGGGCGGCGAAUGAAGCUUGGGCUGGUGCUGCGGCUGGGGCUGGGGCUGGGGCGAACAAACAAAGUGUGGCCAGGAAAUGGCAGAGCGGCAACAUAUUAAUCUUUGCCAACAAGAAGGAUACGCGGCCGGGGCCAGGACGAGGCGUUGCUGCGGAAACAGGAAAAGCAGUCAAAGCAGACGUUGACAGGCAUAAGUAAUGUAAAAAAAUUACUUUAUAAUGGAGUGCGAAAAUGAAAAUUGCGACAGCAGCGCAAAAAACGCACCGACAGCAGCCGCCGCAGCGCCGUAAGACGCGUAGACAUCAAAUUUUGUGGAUUGCUACAAGCAAUUUAGCCACAGCAGCAACAGCAGCAAUAGCAACAGCAACAACAACAACUGCAACAUACCCGCACAUCAGCGACGACAGCAGGAUGUUCAUGACGCAGCGGAAAUAAAUUUUGCGUGAACAAUACAA